GGUUGGUAACAGGUGAUCCUCAAUAAAGACCCGGGACUAAAGGCCGGGACCAUUAGUCCCGAAUGAUUAGUCCCGGUUGGAAAAACCGAGAUAUAUGAGGUUUCCCAACUGGGACUAAUGCUCGUUUCUCUACCAGUAAAUUAUACAACAACUGAUAUUUACAGUAUAUGAUUUUUCUGAAUAGAGCUCACAGUUGACUUGAUAGGUAUCGUGUUUGCUUCUUUGAGCACCAACGCCCAUUUCAAUCUCCAGCAACCUCAUACUGGCAUCAUCAGGCACUUACUGAGACCAUCCUGGAAAACAAGCUUCGGCAAGCUCCAGCCUCCAGCUGCGAAAACUCAUUCAACUUCUAACAAUUAGUUUCAAGUAGACAAUUAGUUCAGAAUAGAAGUAGACAAUUGUUAUCGGCAAAAAUUUCUAUCAUACCUGGAUUACCUCUAGUAAAUAACUUGUUAUUAGAGAGGAGCCCCAGAAAUAUCUGAACACGGG
rnacentral:lncRNA from 1 species